UAUAUGAACACGGCUUCCAAUUAGCCCUGGGUUGGGUGGGUCCUGAUGCCUGAUGCUACCACACGCCUAGGCUCAGAGGCAGAGUUCAGUUGAGUUCAGUACACAAGACAAGAUCUAUCUGCAAAGAUCAUCAUGAUCCUUGACAGUUGCAUGCUGGUUUGGAUUGGAUCUUCCCGUGCGUUCUCGUGAAUGUUUGUUAGCCAAAUUGUUUAUCCGUUUGUAGAGGUUAGUUAUAUACAAAAAGUGAAUGUCUGGAAUGGGAUGCAUGCAUGCUUAUUGAGCAAAGUGAAUGUCCGUGAAAGGGGCUAUCUGUGUUGAUACACGGAAGUGACGCCUGGUGCGUUUUCUCCUUCCUCUUCCCCCAUCGAAUAGAUCUCGCCGCCGCCGCCGUCCAGCCACUCUCUGGCCCCUUCCCUCUCGGUCUCGGAGUCCUCGCCGCACCGGGUAGGGAAAGGGGCCCCCACCCUCCCUCCCUCCUGUACAGCCUAUAGGAGUCCCGCGAUGAGGUCUCCCCUGGUGGUUGCCUUCGCCGUCGCCGUUGUUGUCACUGCUGCUGCAGCUCCCGUCGCCGACGAGGCUCCUACCAAGAUAUGUGCUUCUCCGACCCGCAUCCACCGCGUCCCACCUCCGCCUUCUCUACUAUGCAGCCAUCGCUCCCGCCGAUCCAGACAGCUCUUCUUGUGGCGUUGUCGCACCGACUUCGUCUUCACCGGGAUCCAGACUUGGAGCUCCUUCUUCUUCCCCCAGCGACGGCAACAACCUUAUUCUUCGGUCGCUUGGCGCAUGCUUCAUCACCGGCUCCGUCGUCCCACCCUCAACCGACGCUUGGCGCGGCCUUCCACCUGGGUGUAUGCGCCUUCGGCGCCUCUACGACCCCCCUCCGGCGAAUCCGUCGUCGUCAACGCCUUCGUUGUAGCUGUCGUGCUUAUCCGGUCUUUGGACCCAGAUAUAAUUUGAUCUUUCUUGGAGGACCUUUCUGUAAAAUAGCUGCUUAAUAUAUAAUAUAUGCAGUUGUAAAAAAAAAAGAUACAGCAA